AUGCAUGUGACGAAGAACCUUUGCGUGAACCUGCUAGGCUUCUUGGGCGUGUAUGGGAAGACAAAAAAACCUGAGGCACGGGAGGACCUGCAACGUUUGCUCGAAAAAGAUGGCAUGCCUCCAAAGCAGUAUAAAGGUCCUGCCAGCUACGCUCUUAUGAAAGAAGAGAAAGAAAUCUUCUUUGAAUGUCUGCUCAGUAUGAAGGUCACGACUGGCUUCUCGUCGAAUAUAAAGGGAAUAAUAAAUAUGCCAGAGAAAAAGUUUCAGAACCUAAAGUCUCAUGACUGCCACGUGAUUAUGACGCAACUGCUUCCGGUUGCAUUGAGGGGGCUUCUAUCGGAAAACGUCCGAUUAGCCAUUGUGAAGCUAUGUGAAUUCCUCAAUGCAAUCUCCCAGAAGGUGAUCGAUCCAGAAAUCGUACCAAGGCUAAGGAGUGAUGUGGCGCAAUGUCUUGUCAGUUUCGAGCUGGUGUUUCCACCAUCCUUCUUCAAUAUCAUGACGCACGUCCUAGUUCAUCUAGUCGACGAGAUUAUCAUCCUGGGGCCCGUAUUUCUACACAAUAUGUUCCCCUUUGAGAGGUUCAUGGGAGUCCUAAAGAAAUAUGUCUGUAACCGCGCUAGGCCAAAAGGAAGCAUCUCCAUGAGCCAUAAAACAGAGGAUGUUAUCAGGUUUUGUGUUGACUUCAUUCCUGGCCUUAAGAAGAUAGGUCUCCCUAAAUCACGGUAUGAGGGGAGACUGACUGGAAAUGGCACCCUUGGAAGUGACCCAAUAAUAUGUAGGGACGGAUAUUCUUGGUCUCAAGCACACUACAUAGUUCUACAUAACUCUACGGUGACCCCGUAUGUCGAUGAACACAAGAACAGACUGUGCUCCAAACACCCGGAGCAGUGCGACGACUGGAUUACAUGUGAACACAUCAAGACUUUCAGCAGUUGGUUGGAAACAUGUCUCAGAGGUGACAACACUGUUUGUGAUGAGCUGUACUUGUUGUCCAUGGGAACAUCUUUGUCUGAUUGA
rnacentral:rRNA from 1 species